GGGCCCAUGGCGGCAGCCUACACAUGCAGUCGAGCGGUAACAGAGCGUAGCUUGCUACACGCUGACGAGCGGCGGACGGGUGAGUAAUGCAUAGGAAUCUGCCCGGUAGUGGGGGAUAACCUGGGGAAACCCAGGCUAAUACCGCAUACGUCCUACGGGAGAAAGGGGGCUUCGGCUCCCGCUAUUGGAUGAGCCUAUGUCGGAUUAGCUAGUUGGUGAGGUAAAGGCUCACCAAGGCAACGAUCCGUAGCUGGUCUGAGAGGAUGAUCAGCCACAUCGGGACUGAGACACGGCCCGAACUCCUACGGGAGGCAGCAGUGGGGAAUAUUGGACAAUGGGGGCAACCCUGAUCCAGCCAUGCCGCGUGUGUGAAGAAGGCCUUCGGGUUGUAAAGCACUUUCAGCGAGGAAGAACGCCUAGUGGUUAAUACCCAUUAGGAAAGACAUCACUCGCAGAAGAAGCACCGGCUAACUCCGUGCCAGCAGCCGCGGUAAUACGGAGGGUGCAAGCGUUAAUCGGAAUUACUGGGCGUAAAGCGCGCGUAGGUGGCUUGAUAAGCCGGUUGUGAAAGCCCCGGGCUCAACCUGGGAACGGCAUCCGGAACUGUCAAGCUAGAGUGCAGGAGAGGAAGGUAGAAUUCCCGGUGUAGCGGUGAAAUGCGUAGAGAUCGGGAGGAAUACCAGUGGCGAAGGCGGCCUUCUGGACUGACACUGACACUGAGGUGCGAAAGCGUGGGUAGCAAACAGGAUUAGAUACCCUGGUAGUCCACGCCGUAAACGAUGUCGACCAGCCGUUGGGUGCCUAGCGCACUUUGUGGCGAAGUUAACGCGAUAAGUCGACCGCCUGGGGAGUACGGCCGCAGGGUUAAAACUCAAAUGAUUUGACGGGGGCCCGCACAAGCGGUGAGCAUGUGGUUUAAUUCGAUGCACGCGAAGAACCUUUACCUACUCCUUGACAUCCUGCGAACUUGUGAGAGAUCCUUGGUGGCCUUCGGAACGCAGAGACAGGUGCUGCAUGGCUGUCGUCAGCUCGUGUUGUGGAAUUGUUGGGUUAAGUUCGGAACGACGCAACCCUUGUCCUUAUUGCCACCGGUAUGCCGUAACUUCUAAAGUAGACCUGCCGGUGCAAACCGGAGGGAAAGUGUGGGGACGAACGUUCAAGUCUACAUGGCCUUUACGGAUAUAGGCCUUACACACGUGUGCAUCAAUUGACCCGGUAACAAAAGGGGUCGUGCGACGACCUCCUCGCGAAGAGAUGAC
rnacentral:rRNA from 1 species